rnacentral:pre_miRNA from 1 species
GAUGUUCAGCUUUAGCUGGUUGAAUCCGGGUCAAAUCUUUAUAUUACGGCUAUUUGGUCCCCUUCAACCAGCUGUGGUUGACAUUGCAC